AUUGCGUCGUUCCCCCCUCCCCCAUGUCCUGAAAGGGCCGCGGGCCUUAGCGUGGGGGGCGGAAGUUGGCUUCCCGUGCAGCGUUUGUUGCGGCUAGCCUGAAACACGGUUCCCUCGGCGCGGGCGUCGCGACAAGUGGUGGUCGUCGAGAUUGUACGCGAGCUGCGUCGAGGAGAGCAUUUUGGACCCUGUGCGUGCGAGAUGAGUCCUUCACCGAGGGGCAAUUCCAACGAUUGCGACCCCAGGUCAGGC
rnacentral:rRNA from 1 species